UAAGUAGAUCAGGUAAUCGCGGAAGAAAUGCUAUUUCUUUCGAGGAAAGUCCGAGCUCCACAGGGCAGAGUGCUGGGUAACCCCCAGUGAGGGUAACCUUAAGGAAAGUGCUACAGAAAAUACACAGCUGGGCACUCAAUUUUGAGUACUCAGUAAAGGUGAAAAGGCAGGGUAAGAGCCUACCAGUUGUUAGGUGACUAAUAAGCUUAGUAAACCCCACUCGGAGCAAGACCAAAUAGGAAGAGCUGUGGUGGCCCGCUGAAUCUUCGGGUAGGUCGCUAGAGGUGUAAGGUAACUUACAUCCCAGAUAGAUGAUUACCACCCUUAUAAUUUAAUAAGGGGACAGAACUCGGCUUAUACGAUCUACUUAUCAA
rnacentral:RNase_P_RNA from 1 species